GACGAACGCUGGCGGCGUGCUUAACACAUGCAAGUCGAACGGCAAGGCCCUGAUUUUGUGGGGUGCCCGAGUGGCGAACGGGUGCGUGACACGAGAGUAACCUAAUCUUGACUUUGGGGUAACUUCAGGAAACUGGGGCUACUCCCGGAUAGGAGCCCCUGCAGCAUGGUGGGGGUUGGAAAGUUUCGGCUGGUGGGGAUGGAUUCGCGGCUUACCAGUUUGCUGGUUGGGUAGUUGCUUACCAAGUCUUUGACGGGUAGCCGGCCGGUGAGCGGGGACGGCGACAUUGGGACUAAGAGACGGCCCAGACUGCUACAGUAGACAGUAGUGGGGAGUAUUACACAGUGGGCCGAAGCCUGAUGCGGCAACGUCGCGGGCGUGAUGACGGUUUGCUGGGUGUAAACCGCAUUCGCCUGAUACGAAGCGUGAGUGACGGUACUGGGUAAAGAAGCACCGGCUAACUACGUG
rnacentral:rRNA from 1 species